rnacentral:rRNA from 1 species
AAUGAACGCUGGCGGCGCGCCUAAUACAUGCAAGUCGAGCGAGAAGACGUAGCAAUACGUUUGUAAAGCGGCGAACGGGUGAGGAAUACAUGGGUAACCUACCCUAGAGUGGGGAAUAACUAGCCGAAAGGUUAGCUAAUACCGCGUACGCUCCUUGGACUUCGGUUCAGGGAGGAAAGCGAUGCCGAGGGUAUCGCGCUCUUGGAUGGACUCAUGUCCUAUCAGCUUGUUGGGAGGUAACGGCUCACCAAAGCUUCGACGGGUAGCUGGUCUGAGAGGACGAUCAGCCACACUGGCACUGCGACACGGGCCAGACUCCUACGGGAGGCAGCAGUAAGGAUAUUGCGCAAUGGGCGAAAGCCUGACGCAGCGACGCCGCGUGGGGGAU